rnacentral:rRNA from 1 species
UACGGAGACCCCUAGCGUUGUUCGGAAUCACUGGGCUUAAAGCGCGUGUAGGCGGAACGGUAAGUGUCUUGUGAAAGCCCCGGUCUCAAACCGGGAAUAGCUUGGCAUACUGCCGUUCUUGAGGCAGGUAGGGGUCGCUGGAACGUUAGGUGGAGCGGUGAAAUGCGUAGAUAUCUAACGGAACGCCUGUGGCGAAAGCGGGUGACUGGGCCUGUCCUGACGCUGAGACGCGAAAGCGUAGGGAGCAAACGGG